ACGCAGCAGGCAUGCAGAGCAACGACACCGUUGCUCAUACCUGUACCGGACAAGUUUCGACGUUCUGUGGAGUUUUUGAGGGCUUUAUACAACGUGUAACACAUAGAGAUGUCAGAAGCAUAAAUGACAUGAUGGCUAGGACAUAUAGCUGGGGGAGAAUGGAUUGGUUGUCCAGAGCCCAGAUGUGCAAAAAUUAAAGAAAGAUGGCCUGCCCAGAUAAACGAAGAAUUCCAAAGGUGUACUGGUGUUCCACAAGAAUCGGUUUUUAUUUCCCAGCUGGACAAAUACACUCCAAAACUUCUUGACCUGUUUAGUGCGAAGGGUGCAGCGACUGGUGAAAACAUCAAUUGGAGUUAUUGGAACUGAUACAGGAUUCAAGUACCUCUGUGGUGAGGAACAGAGACGUGGCUCUGAGAUGCCUCAUUGAAUACAUGGGAGAGAGUGGGCAAAAGCUGAUCUCUGACUACUAUGGAAAAACAGAGAGCAGUGUCUAUGAAGACUUGGAAAUGCGCAAUAUGCAGAUAUAUGUCUGCCGUGUUCCAGAUGUUGUGGGCAUCAUCAUUGAGGGCAUCCCUGUGCUUACUCGUCUUGGAAACCACGCCAGGGCUAUGAACUUGCAGUAUCCACCACAACUCAGCAAAACAUUUCAGGUGUUUCAAAGACAUUUUGUGGGACUUGACACACUGCGUCCAAAGUCUUCCUCCUGAUUCAUGACACAAAAACUUCUGAAUUAGUUAAUUAGUUGCCGCUCAGAGGUUCUGUUUCUUUGCUUCAUCACUUUUGUUCAAUGGACAGUUUGACUUGGAACAAUGUGGUAGUCACGCACCGACUUCUUCAGUUUCUGGAUAAGUCUGCAGCAAAUAUGGGCAUUUGAUUUGCUUUUGUAUAUAUGGGGCAAAGUUUGUUUUGUUAUGUCAAAUGCUGAGAUCAGAGGCACUUAAUUUUUUUUAUUUCAAUGUUGUAGUACAUAUGAAAAUGUACUGUACUGUGUACACAACAGGCAUCAGUUGGACACCUCAAACCCCCAUGAGGAUCCACACACACACACAAACACACACACACACACACACACGCUCAGUUUUAAUGGGUAAAGUUUAAUAGGGAUACAGCUGCAGAUACUCGCAUCAUUCAUUCAUUUUCCUUCAGCUUAGUCCUUCAUUUAUCAGGAGUUGCCACAGCGAAAUGAGCCAUCAACUACUCUGGCAUAUGUUUUACACAGUGGAUGCCCUUCCAGCUGCAACCCAGUACUGGGAGACACCCAUACACACUUAUAUACUAUGGCCAAUUUAGUUCAUCAAUUCCCCUAUCGCACCUGGAGGAAACCCAUGCCAACAUGGGGAGAACGUGCAAACUCCAAACAGAAACACCAACUGACCCAGCCGGGACUCAAACCAGCAACCUUCCAGGGCCACAAUGCUAACCACUGAGCCUACUUGCAUAAAUAUAGCAUCAUUUUUGUGACAUUGUUCAACAAUUAUAUGUAUAUAUUUACCGUACUGUGAGGGUUGGGCUUAAGUUUGGGGUAGACCUUAAUAAAAUACUGUUUACUGGGUAAUUUAAUAAAUGAUACGAGUAUAUUACUGCUUUUACACUGUGAAGGUUGGGGUAGAUGUUAAUAAAAUGUAUUUCAUUCA
ensembl:processed_transcript